CAUAAAGCCAAGCUUUCCCUGGCCCCUACAGUUUGGAUCAGCACCUACGUCCCCUCCAAGACCAAAGCACCACUUCAAUGACAGGUUAUCAGCCAGCCCUCUUUUGAGAAGGAACCAGGAAUGAUGCUUGAAUGUAUGUCUAGGCAAUGCUGAGCACAUUCUGGAAAGCUGGUGGUGAUCUGCAAGGCUUCCUGGGGUGUAUGCGAUCAGAAAUGACAUUCAGGAUGCUAUUGAUACCUCCAGAUUAUACAACUCUUCUUACAGCAACUGAUAGGCAAUGGAAAUGAUGACAGAAAAGCGCAACAGUCCAUUUUUCUUUUCUAUGCCACCACACACUCUAAUUCUUUUAACCAGUCUCCUUGGCUAGUUUUUUUUUUAAUCAGAAGCACCAGUGGCUGAACCAAGCUGUAUAAGAAGUUCUGGAGAUCUCAUCAAACAAUUUCCAACAUCACUGCCAGGUCCACUACUUCCCAGACAAUUUUGCUGCCCAUGGAAGUCCCUGGCCUAGUCUUCUGCAGUGUCACGCUCUGUGUAUUUGACAAGCUGAGUUGGACACUCCAUAUGGUAGAGUGUCAGUUUGUCAAAUACCCCAAGUGUGGCAUAUGCCUAGCAACUCCAGGCCCAGGACACUGCAAAUAGACUGCUGGUGGGGUAAAAGAAUGUUUAUCAAACACCAAGCUCUCUCAAAUUAUUAUAUGGCUUUGAGGGAACUAAAGCCUUUCAUCAGAGGGCAACAGAAUAAUAGUGAGGCAGCACUGGGAGCUACAACCCUGGGCUGCACAAUGGUUUUGAAAAUCCAUAAGGGAUAUACGGAAGAAAGUGCUAUUUGAUUUUUUUUUUUAUCAUCUUCUUCCUUCUCAUUCUCCUUCUCAGAGCCAGGAGACCAAUAUCCUCAUAUAAACAUCACGAAUGUAUGUGACAAAGUAGGACACAGAAGUCUAGUUUCUUGCUUUCUGAGGACAUCUUGGCCUUACAUACAGCUUCUCUUUUCUUAUUUCCUUGUCUCAUUCUUGGAGCCUCUUUCCUAUGUCUCUUUGCCUACACAAUUCUUCCCUGUACUUCUGGACUCCAUCAAAGUGCUGUCUUUGUGGGGAAUUUUAAAAGUUCCUUUCUCCUUGCCUUGAUGCUAGUAUGUGCUAUUGUAUUUCUUAUCACCAAAUAUGUCCUUUAAAAGUUAGUGAACGUUUCCAAGAUAUAUUCUUGAAUUCCCCACUGCAUUGUAAGAUUAUAAAGUGAAAGUCUGUAGCUUAUUAAUUUCUAUGUCCCCUACUAUCGCCCAGCGUUGUAACUAUCUAAUAAAUGUUUAUAGAUUGAUGUUCCACUUGUCCAUGAGCUUUGGGUAUAUGGUCGGAAUGUUACUCAGGAUUUUGUAAAAAAGAAAAUCAAACUGUGCCAUGAAGUAUAUAAGGUAGUAGCCAAAGUGGAAAGGUUGGGGGAGUGAAAAAGAGGGGGAUAAAAGCUCAGGGGACAAAUCAGUUUUGUAUUACUUGGUUACACAGAUAUACAAUGACUUUUAAUAGUAUUUUUCUAAGCCUAUAAUAUUCUAAUGCUGCAUUGGGAAUGACUAUGAUAUAGAGCUAUGGAACAAAACAUUUCUGAUAUCUAGUUCCAGAGUCUAAUAUUCCAUGGAAUAUAAUUUGGGAAACUUCCCUAAAGUAAUGUACUUUCCCUUAGCUCUGGAGAUCUCCUCUAUUUGCUCUUUAACUUUCCCCUGACCAGCCAGCCACCUAAAUGUCAAGCCUCAUGUGUCACCACAUUUUUUUGCUUAGAAUAUUAUGAGGAUUGUCUUGGUACCUAGGAAUUACUUAGUGUCUUAUUCUGCAUGGGAGAAAGUCAUAUUUUGGAUGCAAAGAUUAUCUUUGGAAGCUUUCUGCUGUAAUGAA